rnacentral:lncRNA from 1 species
GUGGGGGAAGCAAAGUUCCUCCCUUUCCCAUUUCUUUUCCAUUCUGAGCCAUUGUGGACCUCUGGGGACUUGGAAAAGAUUCCAGAGUGGGGAUUGUCGAUUUGGAGCCAGGUAUGAGAGAUUCAGAGGUGUGUGUGUGUGUGUGUGUGUGUGUGUGUGUGUGUGUGUGUGUGUGGAGGGGGAGGGAGCAGUGCUGGAGGCAGGGGCACCAGGAACAGGGGACUGAGGAAAAGGGUUAAGAUGUAAUUUUCCCACCCAACUGAAGUAGUUGUCCCUAGGUGACCAUCUGCAAGCAGCACAUGCUUGUUAUAAGUCACACUGUCUGCCUUGUGCUUCUAUGGAAUAUAGCUGAUAUUUGAUAAGGCUGUAUACCAUUUAUAAUGUUUUGACAAUUUCUGAUUCUAAAAUCCAGCUGAAAUGAGGUGAAUUUAUAUUUAGUCUACAAAUAUAUAUUUAUUGACCUUUUUGGUUUUUUUUUUUUUGUUGUUGUUGUUGUUUUGUUGUUGUUGUCUGUCUUGGUUUUUUUUUUUUCUAAAAAGGACAAGCUAUUGAAGCUAGCACUGCCUAUCUAACUUACCUAAACAAGGUUGCUCUGUCACUUAAGGACAUUUUCAAAAGCACACAGCAGGAGGCUGAGUUACUUUCUGACCACUGCAAGAACAAGUCUACUUGUUUUAAAAUCUUUUACUACAUCAUUCUUUCUUUUUGUUCACAAUUAAUUCCACAGACAGAGGAGGAGGAAAAUGCAGAGAUGGCUAUGUCUUCUGUCCAAUCAGGAGAAAGCAAGAAUUGACACUGAUCUUAGAUACUUCAUGCAGCAGCAAAGGGCUCCGUGGUCACACAGGUGCCUGGCAGUGUUGUGGCAAUGGUGCUAAGUGCUUAAAAAGAGUCAAGAGUAAAGCUUACUGCUCUAAAAAUAAACCAGGAGACUAAAGUAUUUACAGAAAGGGCCUUAUGGGUAUCCUUGAGUGGAAUUUGUGGAUGAAUUAAGGAAGUGUAUCUGCUGCCAGGUUUUUCUCCAAGCUUAGCUUUAUCCUGCCAUUUUAAAUGUGCCCAUACUUAGGAAGAUGGAGGCUUAGUGUAUUUCCACCAUGGUUACAGCCCAGGUGGAUUUCAAAGAUAGGUACAAACUGUAUUUAGGGAUUAGUCCACUCACCAUUAAAGGGAAGUCAUUGCUGUAGUGUUUAUCACUGAGUUCCCAUGAACAGUGGAGUGUUUAUAUGUACAGGGCCAAGGUUAGGGCAGGAAUAAAAACUGUCAGGUAAAACAACCGAGAGAGUCUGCAGAGGCAAAGGAAGUUACUUUACAAAAUUCACUUCUUUUGGAAAUGUAAUGAUGCAUUUCUGCUGGCCACUAGGAUUGAGGUCCUUCCCUCUGCAUUCACGGGUUUAAAGUGACAUGUGUAGAAUGUUUCAUUGAAUGAUGUUUUCCAGUAACAGUCUUUAUGUAUGUGUGUAAUCAUCAACUGUAAAAAAACAAUAUAGUAAAAACAGUGAAAUGUACUGUGUUUAAUCAGAAGAAACGUGAAUGUUCAAACUAUC